GCCAGCCGCCGCGGUAAUACGGAGGGGGUUAGCGUUGUUCGGAAUUACUGGGCGUAAAGCGCGCGUAGGCGGACUGGAAAGUUGGGGGUGAAAUCCCGGGGCUCAACCUCGGAACUGCCUCCAAAACUAUCAGUCUAGAGUUCGAGAGAGGUGAGUGGAACUCCGAGUGUAGAGGUGAAAUUCGUAGAUAUUCGGAAGAACACCAGUGGCGAAGGCGGCUCACUGGCUCGAUACUGACGCUGAGGUGCGAAAGUGUGGGGAGCAAACAGGAUUAGAUACCCUGGUAGUCCACACCGUAAACGAUGAAUGCCAGUCGUCGGGUAGCAUGCUAUUCGGUGACACACCUAACGGAUUAAGCAUUCCGCCUGGGGAGUACGGUCGCAAGAUUAAAACUCGAAGGAAUUGACGGGGGCCCGCACAAGCGGUGGAGCAUGUGGUUUAAUUCGAAGCAACGCGCAGAACCUUACCAACCCUUGACAUCCUAGGACCACCCGAGAGAUCGGGCUUUCACUUCGGUGACCUAGUGACAGGUGCUGCAUGGGCUGUCGUCAGCUCGUGUCGUGAGAUGUUCGGUUAAGUCCGGCCACGAGCGCCAACCCACAUCCCUAGUUGCCAGCAGUUCGGCUGGGCACUCUAUGGAAACUGCCCGUGAUAAGCGGGAGGAAGGUGUGGAUGACGUCAAGUCCUCAUGGCCCUUACGGGUUGGGCUACACACGUGCUACAAUGGUGUCUACAGUGGGUUAAUCCCCAAAAGACAUCUCAGUUCGGAUUGUCGUCUGCAACUCGACGGCAUGAAGUCGGAAUCGCUAGUAAUCGCGUAACAGCAUGACGCGGUGAAUACGUUCCCGGGCCUUGUACACACCGCCCGU
rnacentral:rRNA from 1 species